rnacentral:rRNA from 1 species
CGUGUAGGCGGUAUCAUAAGUCAGUGGUGAAAUCCCAUCGCUCAACGAUGGAACUGCCAUUGAUACUGUAGGACUUGAAUGCUUAGGAAGUAACUAGAAUAUGUAGUGUAGCGGUGAAAUGCUUAGAUAUUACAUGGAAUACCAAUUGCGAAGGCAGGUUACUACUAAGUGAUUGACGCUGAUGGACGAAAGCGUGGGGAGCGAACAGGAUUAGAUACCCGCGUA